rnacentral:rRNA from 2 species
AGUCGAACGAAGGCUUCGGCCUUAGUGGCGCACGGGUGCGUAACGCGUGGGAAUCUGCCCUUGGGUACGGAAUAACUCCUCGAAAGGGGUGCUAAUACCGUAUGAAGACGAAAGUCCAAAGAUUUAUCGCCUGAGGAUGAGCCCGCGUAGGAUUAGCUAGUUGGUGGGGUAAAGGCCUACCAAGGCGACGAUCCUUAGCUGGUCUGAGAGGAUGAUCAGCCACACUGGGACUGAGACACGGCCCAGACUCCUACGGGAGGCAGCAGUGGGGAAUAUUGGACAAUGGGCGAAAGCCUGAUCCAGCAAUGCCGCGUGAGUGAUGAAGGCCUUAGGGUUGUAAAGCUCUUUUACCCGGGAAGAUAAUGACUGUACCGGGAGAAUAAGCCCCGGCU